UGCCAUUGUUAUGGCGAAGAGAUCGGGCGCGUUGCCGAACAACGUCGGAAUCACGUGAGGUGGCGAAACCAGCGGUCUCUCAUGCACAACUCGGGUAUAUAACGAGGACGCGGCAGGACGCUCUUCCUUUUCCUGCGGAGUCAGGUUCACUGAGUGGGUACCACCAAAGUGUAAGAGGUGGGGGAGACCACUCCCGCCCCCACCCUCAAACUCAAGUAUGGCGAAGUCAUCUGCCAGGUUUUCCCCGUGAAAACCAACGGUACACUUGAGGAAAACAGUUACUGCCAAGGGUAACGACUGGAGUCUCUAACCCAAACUGAGGGGUGGUCUGACACCCUUCCUGUGCUCGUGAGCGAACACGAUGACAUCACCGCCCCCCACCUCGAGAGCAGUUACAGUAACAUCACAGGCCCGCUCCAGGGAGAGGGGCGACGACGUCAAAAUGUUUAAUUUCGACGUUGUUUCCCCUACCCAUGGAAUGAGCACAGCGAUGUCACGGUUGCUACCUCGGCAGUAGGGAUAGUGAUGUCAUCGCGCCUGCCCACGAAUCGCGGGCGGGGUCGUCAGUGCCCCCCCCAGUCAGGGCGAAGCGACGCCAGGGCGCAGCGUCGGUGAAGAAGAACAUUCACUGACCUUGAAGCACACAGCACUGCAGCACGGACGCGAAAUUCUAUGAAACUCUACAAAACUAUGAAACUAUGAAACGCUAUGAAACUCUACUCUAUGAAAUUCGACGAAACUAUCCCCUGGUAAGGGGAUAGUUUCUUAGUCUGCGUUGCUUGGUUAGGUGUGACAAGGGAACCUGUUGAAACUAUCCUUGUCAAGUAUACUAUGUCUGCACUGAAGAGAGAGAGAAAAUGUAUUCAUGGCUUACCAUUCAUUAUGCGUUCUGCCAGGUUUGGCAGAUGUAUUCUCGAAUGUAAUAAAAGUGCAGAUGAAAUACA